AAUUAUUGUGAAUUAAAAAUUAAAUCAUGUUAAGAAUACUAAAAGACAUGCGUAUUUAUUAGAAAAUAUUAAAUUUAAAUUAAUUAAACAAAUAAUUAAAAUAAAUAGUAAAAAAUAUAAAUAACAUUAAACACAAAUAUUGUUGACUGUGGCUAUACUAAUAACUAAAAAUGACAUAAUCAUCACAAUUUUUUAUUUAAACAUUAUAUAUUACCAACUUGUAAGUCAUUGAUGCUUUAAGCUGCAAUUUUCAAAUUGAAAAAAGAUGUUGACUAAAUUUAAAACUUAUUCAAAUCCAAUAAAACUUAAUCACCUUCCACACUUUGCCCAAAAAAAAAGCUUAAAAUUGCCUUGUACUACACAAAUGCCUUGUAAAAGAGUUAUAAAUAACCUAAGUAGAAGGAGAGCAAAGUGAAUAAGGGAUAAAGUGAGAUGUGAUUUGUUGUAUUCAUUGAAAGUAUUUACUGUAUUCGUAAAGCAACACAACCAAUUUCAGAAAAUAUUUUAUCUAUAUUCGAUAGUAACACUUAAAUUUUUCUUUCUUUAUUGAAUCAUGUAUAUCAAAAAAGAUUUUAAUUAAAUGUGAUAGAAACACUUAGAAUUUUGUGUUGAUAUAUCAGUUUAAAAUAUGUAUAUUUUUUGGUAAAAGAGAUACUCGUAUUGAUUUAGUUUGGAUGAGAUGAAAGAACACGAACUAAAUGGGUCUGAGGUGAAAUCAAGCAAGAGUGGUGAAGAUCCUGCGAUGAAAAAUUCAACUCCAUAAGAGAAACGAACUACCUCUGAAAUUGAAUCUAAGAGUUUUAGUUCUAAACAAGAUGUUUCUAAAAGUCAGAACAAUUUAAUAGUUUCAACUUCACCAUCAACAUCACCUAUAGGGGGAAUGUUAAGAAUCAAUCAGGACUAAGUUUCAUUUGGUCAUCAACACAAGGAAGUCCCAAAUAGUAUCAUCAUACUCAAAAAAAAAAUAUUCUCUUACUUUUAAACACAGUGUAAAUUCUAAUUUGUCUUAAUUAAACUUAAUCAACCAUCUCUAUCAAAAUUUUGAUAAUCAAGCAGAGCAUAACACUUAAUCAAUCAUAAAUCUCAAAUGUCACAUCUACACAAACAAUUCCGAAAAACAAGUGAAACACCCAUAAACCAAAUCUCAACUCAAACACGGCUAAAAACCUCCAUUCCAGCCAACCCCUAAAUCUUCGAACAUCAUAGAGAACAUUGAACGUGAGUGAACCCUUCAACAACAAAACCCUUGAACAGUACAAAAAAUAGAAGAAUGAAAAAUUGCUUACCUAUUUGGAGCAAACACAGAAACCGGCACACUUCAGCUGAAGAAAAAUGUUUUUGGAAGAAUGGAGACUGAAGAAUAAGGAAGAAAUAAGCCUUCAGCGAAAACCCUGAACAGUAAAAAAAAGAACAGAAAAUUGCUUAACUUAUUUCGAGCAAAUGCAAAAACCAACACACUUCAACGGAAGAAAUAAGAAGAACGAAAAAGUGAAAAGUGAAACCAUUACCUAUUUGGCACACUUCAGCAGAAUGAAGAAGAAAUAAUUCAACCGUAAAGAAUUUAGCCCAAAAGUUUUAGGGUAAAUUUUUUUAAUACAUUUAAAAUUUUAUCAUUUGAAGACCCACGAUUUUCU
rnacentral:lncRNA from 1 species